rnacentral:rRNA from 1 species
AGCAGUGGGGAAUCUUGCGCAAUGCGCGAAAGCGUGACGCAGCAACGCCGCGUGGGGGAAGACGGCCUUCGGGUUGUAAACCCCUUUCAGUUGGGACGAAGCUUCAACGGUGAAUAGCCGGCUGGAGUGACGGUACCUUCAGAAGAAGCCCCGGCUAACUACGUGCCAGCAGCCGCGGUAAUACGUAGGGGGCAAGCGUUGUCCGGAAUCAUUGGGCGUAAAGCGCGUGUAGGCGGUUCAGUAAGUCUGCUGUGAAAGUCCAGGGCUCAACCCUGGGACGCCGGUGGAUACUGCUGGGCUAGAGUACGGAAGAGGCGAGUGGAAUUCCCGGUGUAGCGGUGAAAUGCGCAGAUAUCGGGAGGAACACCUAUUGCGAAGGCAGCUCGCUGGGACGUUACUGACGCUGAGA